CCUACGGGCGGCAGCAGUGGGGAAUAUUGCACAAUGGGGGAAACCCUGAUGCAGCGACGCCGCGUGAGUGAAGAAGUAUCUCGGUACGUAAAGCUCUAUCAGCAGGGAAGAAAAUGACGGUACCUGACUAAGAAGCCCCGGCUAACUACGUGCCAGCAGCCGCGGUAAUACGUAGGGGGCAAGCGUUAGCCGGAUUUACUGGGGGUAAAGGGAGCGGAGACGGGAGCACAAGUCUGGAGUGAAAUCCCGGGGCUUAACCCGGGAACUGCAUUGGAAACUGUGCGGCUGGAGUGCAGGAGGGGUAAGCGGAAUUCCUAGUGUAGCGGUGAAAUGCGUAGAUAUUAGGAGGAACACCGGUGGCGAAGGCGACUUACUGGACUGUAACUGACGUUGAGGCUCGAAAGCGUGGGGAGCAAACAGGAUUAGAUACCCCAGUAGUC
rnacentral:rRNA from 1 species